rnacentral:rRNA from 1 species
GAUGAACGCUGGCGGCGUGCCUAACACAUGCAAGUCGAACGAAGUUACUUGCUUAGAUCUCUUCGGAGUGACGAGCUUUUAACUUAGUGGCGGACGGGUGAGUAACACGUGAGCAACCUGCCUUUCAGAGGGGGAUAACGGCUGGAAACGGUCGCUAAUACCGCAUGAUAUAUUGAAUCGGCAUCGGUUUAAUAUCAAAGGAGCAAUCCGCUGAAAGAUGGGCUCGCGUCUGAUUAGAUAGUUGGUGGGGUAACGGCCUACCAAGUCGACGAUCAGUAGCCGGACUGAGAGGUUGAACGGCCACAUUGGGACUGAGAUACGGCCCAG